GGGCCUGAAAUGAUGAUUAAGAGUUCAUGUCUCUUCUCUGAGAUGAAACAUGGAGAUACUUGAAUCCAUUUCUGAUCAGGCUC
rnacentral:snoRNA from 1 species